AGAGUUUGAUCAUGGCUCAGGAUGAACGCUAGCGGCAGGCCUAAUACAUGCAAGUCGAGGGGUAACAGGAAUAGCAAUAUUUGCUGACGACCGGCGCACGGGUGCGUAACACGUAUGUAAUCUGCCCUCAACUGGGGGAUAGCCCGGAGAAAUCCGGAUUAAUACCCCAUAAUAAAAGACAAGGCAUCUUGUUUUUUUGAAAAUUCCGAUGGUUGAGGAUGAACAUGCGACUGAUUAGUUUGUUGGUGAGGUAACGGCUCACCAAGACUACGAUCAGUAGGGGUACUGAGAGGUUAAACCCCCACACUGGUACUGAGACACGGACCAGACUCCUACGGAAGGCAGCAGUAAGGAAUAUUGGACAAUGGGCGAGAGCCUGAUCCAGCCAUGCCGCGUGCAGGAAGAAGGCCCUAUGGGUCGUAAACUGCUUUUGAACGAGAGAAAACCCGAGUACGUGUACUCGGCUGAUAGUAUCGUUAGAAUAAGCAUCGGCUAACUUCGUGCCAGCAGCCGCGGUAAGACGAAGGAUGCAAGCGUUAUCCGGGUUCAUUGGGUUUAAAGGGAGCGUAGGCGGACUUGUAAGUCAGUGGUGAAAUCUGUGGGCUUAACCCACAAACUGCCAUUGAUACUGCAGGUCUAGAGUACAGUUGCCGUUGGCGGAAUAUGACAUGUAGUGGUGAAAUACUUAGAUAUGUCAUAGAACACCGAUUGCGAAGGCAGCUAACGAAGCUGUAACUGACGCUGAGGCUCGAAAGUGCGGGGAUCAAACAGGAUUAGAUACCCUGGUAGUCCG
rnacentral:rRNA from 1 species